GCCGGGUGUAGUAGUGUACACCUGUAAUCCCAGCAGAUCUGGAGGCUGAGGCAGGAGGAUCACGUGUUCAAAGCUAGCCUAGCAACAGCCAAUAAGUAACUCAGUAAAACCUUGUCUCUA
rnacentral:sRNA from 1 species